NNNAUACUCCCUCCGUCCCAAAAUUCUUGCCUUAGAUUUGUCUAGAUAUGAAUGUAUCAAGUCACAUUUUAGUAUUAGAUACAUCCGUAUCUAGACAAAUCUAAGACAAGAAAUUUGGGACAGAGGGAGUAGUUG
rnacentral:pre_miRNA from 1 species